rnacentral:rRNA from 1 species
UGGGGAAUAUUGGACAAUGGGCGCAAGCCUGAUCCAGCCAUGCCGCGUGAGUGAUGAAGGCCUUAGGGUUGUAAAGCUCUUUUACCAGGGAUGAUAAUGACAGUACCUGGAGAAUAAGCUCCGGCUAACUCCGUGCCAGCAGCCGCGGUAAUACGGAGGGAGCUAGCGUUGUUCGGAAUUACUGGGCGUAAAGCGCGCGUAGGCGGCUAUUCAAGUCAGAGGUGAAAGCCCGGGGCUCAACUCCGGAACUGCCUUUGAAACUAGAUAGCUAGAAUCCAAGAGAGGUGAGUGGAAUUCCGAGUGUAGAGGUGAAAUUCGUAGAUAUUCGGAGGAACACCAGUGGCGAAGGCGGCUCACUGGCUCGAUACUGACGCUGAGGUGCGAAAGCGUGGGGAGCAAACAGGAUUAGAUACCCCGGUAGUCC